CCAACUCGAAUCGCAGCUCCAACUCCGGUUUCAAGCCUAUGUCCCCUGCAUCUGUAUCUGUAUCUCUGGGUGACAGUGUGUGUUGUAUCUUCGACUGCGUGGCAAUAAGUGUGCCCCGUUCCUGAGGCAGUGCAAAAAAAUCAAAAACAAAAAAAAAAUCAGAAAACAGCAUUAACCAUCUUGUUGUUGUUUUUUAAGGUUUCGGCUCUUGGUGAAUUAUUUAUGAGUGUAAAACCCUGAAACUCGCCCACAGUGCAUUGGCACCGAUUGCCAACGUCAGAGAUAACAACAGCAACUCCAAACAGCGACAGCACAAACAGCAGAGGAUCGCAUUUAAGGCGCAGCAUCGCAGCAUACAAGAAGCGAAUCCAUCCGCACUGUGGGACGCGGGGCGGCUGAGGUGAAGUGGAGUGGAAUGAGUUCGCAACUCCUUUUCAUCCUCAUGCCAUGUGCAAAUCACAUACAGUAGCAAAAAAUUUCGACAGUUAUUUACGAUUAGCACAAAAGAUACGAGACAUGACAUGCGCUGAACGGUGAUGGGGACUGGGGACUGGGCUUUGGAAAUGGUUAUGGGGUAUGGGGUAUGGAGCACGGGGAUCCGUGGAUGGGGGACUCAAACUGGGGACAGAUCGGACAGACCUGAACCUGGAACCCAACUUCAGACAGCUACAGCCCCGGCCUACGCUCCCCAUCUGCGCCGGCUACUGUUCCAGCGGAUUCGUGUUGACUCAGCGGGUGUCGUCGGGCCAAAGAUCUCCGCUCUUCAGAGGGCCUCAUCUGUACUAUUAUUUUUACCCCAGCUGUGGAUGCACACACACUCGUAGAUGGGAAAAAAGAACACACUUAUGCAUCCGGGACAAUGGCGAUGGGGCACAUUUGUUAGCCGGCUUGGCCUGCCUUUCUCCACCGCCAAGAGCUGACCUAUUAAAUGGGUAAACUACUUUGUGUAUCGCAACAUGACGAUCAGUCUCUUUUGUAUCUAUUCGCUGUUCUAAAAUGGGCCAUAAAACGUGAACUUCAAUGGUACAACUUUAUGCGCUGCGAUGCUGCGAUCAGCAGUUAUAGAGCUGAAAACUGCAGGGUCCUAUCUAUUAAUGGAUCGUAGUCGUGCAUCUGAAUUUGAUCACUUCUGAAGGCGAGCAGUGAUUUUUA